rnacentral:rRNA from 1 species
GACGAACGCUGGCGGCGUGCUUAACACAUGCCAGUCGAACGGAAAGGCCCUGCUUUUGUGGGGUGCUCGAGUGGCGAACGGGUGAGUAACACGUGAGUAACCUGCCCUUGACUUUGGGAUAACUUCAGGAAACUGGGGCUAAUACCGGAUAGGAGCUCCUGCUGCAUGGUGGGGGUUGGAAAGUUUCGGCGGUUGGGGAUGGACUCGCGGCUUAUCAGCUUGUUGGUGGGGUAGUGGCUUACCAAGGCUUUGACGGGUAGCCGGCCUGAGAGGGUGACCGGCCACAUUGGGCCGGAGAUCCGGCCCAGACCCCUACGGGAGGAAGCAGUGGGAAUAUUGCACAAUGGGCGGAAGCCUGAUGCGGCAACGCCGCGUGCGGGAUGACGGCCUUCGGGUUGUAAACCGCUUUCGCCUGUGACGAAGCGUGAGUGACGGUAAUGGGUAAAGAAGCACCGGCUAACUACGUG